AAAACACACUAGGGGUGCCGUAAUGGCUGAGAUAGAAGCAAUUCUGAUCCCUUUGAACCUGUUAAGUUAAUUCUUGCGAAGGAAAGUGUCGAAAUCUAUCG
rnacentral:ncRNA from 2 species